rnacentral:rRNA from 1 species
UUGAACGCUGGCGGCAUGCCUUACACAUGCAAGUCGAACGGUAACGGGCCUUCGGGUGCCGACGAGUGGCGAACGGGUGAGUAAUACAUCGGAACGUGCCCGAUCGUGGGGGAUAACGAGGCGAAAGCUUUGCUAAUACCGCAUACGAUCUACGGAUGAAAGCAGGGGACCGCAAGGCCUUGCGCGGACGGAGCGGCCGAUGGCAGAUUAGGUAGUUGGUGGGAUAAAAGCUUACCAAGCCGACGAUCUGUAGCUGGUCUGAGAGGAUGAUCAGCCACACUGGGACUGAGACACGGCCCAGACUCCUACGGGAGGCAGCAGUGGGGAAUUUUGGACAAUGGGCGCAAGCCUGAUCCAGCCAUGCCGCGUGCAGGAUGAAGGCCUUCGGGUUGUAAACUGCUUUUGUACGGAACGAAAAGCCUUCUUUUAAUACAGGAGGGUCAUGACGGUACCGGAAGAAUAAGCACCGGCUAACUACGUG